AGGCUCAAACUCAACCAUGACCUCAUCACAUUCACCGCCAAUUCCUUGCCGUUUCAGAAAAAGAAAAACAAUCAAAUGUGUUGAAGAAUCGAAGCAAUGUCAUCCAUCGUUAUUCGUUAUGCUUUGAGGAUUUUUACUCACGUCGCAUUCCCAAGAACCAAGAAGAAAACAAGACAAGAACCACUCGAAAUGGGUCUGAAUGAAAAUACAAUCCCAACCCAUUUUGUGUUUGUCUUCUUCCCCAACCCCUCUCUGUUUCUUUAAUCAUAAAAAUAUUUUCUUGUUUCCCAUAUCCCAAUACCCCAGAUUGUCGAACACUUAGCCGUAUCAAUUGAAACUGCCACACAGAGACAGCCAACAAUGCCAACCCAUUUCAGAUGGAACUCUCACUGUGGGCUUCACAUGCCUCCCAUUUCCAUAUCACUACUGGAGAAACUUCAAAUCAAAAAGGCACAUCGAAGCUCAACCACAAACCUAGUCAACCUAACUGUGUAUUGGGAGGUACUAAUUCCAUUGUACUUAAUAGUAAAAAUGAAAGGAAAGAAGUUUGUAGGAGGGAAUACCAAGGAUAUGUUCAAUGCUAUUUUCCACAUUCGGAAGCCUAAUCUGAAAGAAUAUAUCUGAAUUUAUGUGUAUAUAUGAAUUUAUAGGUUUUGAGAAAUUCCAUUUAACCCAAACACUUCACGUGUUUGUGUGUGA